rnacentral:lncRNA from 1 species
AAACUCAUUAGCAAACUCCUCCCAAGACAUGUUAUCCAACCUAGGGUCCACAUAGACGCCAAACCAUUCCUUCGCCUUCUUACAUUUUAAAGUGAACCCUGCCAUCUGAAUGGCUCUGGUAUCAUCUGCCCCUAACUCAUCUGCUAUCAUUUUGACUGCUUUAAUGUACUCAAACGGAUCAUCUCCGGAUUGAUACUUAGGAGCAUCUAACUUUAGGUAAUCAGUCAUCUUUACCUUGCUCCUCACAGAUGGGCCAGGUUGAGGUGUUUGGAUAACUGGGGCUUCUGGUUGUACCACUGGUGGUGGUGGGGGAGGUGCAGAACUUUCUGGUGUAGAGUA